AUUGAACGCUGGCGGCAGGCCUAACACAUGCAAGUCGAGCGAGCGGCGGACGGGUGAGUAAUGUCUGGGAAACUGCCUGAUGGAGGGGGAUAACUACUGGAAACGGUAGCUAAUACCGCAUACCAUCAGAUGUGCCCAGGUGGGAUUGGCUAGUAGGUGGGGUAACGGCUCACCUGGGCGACGAUCCACAGCUGGUCUGAGCGGAGGACCGGCCCAACUGGAACUGAGACACGGGCCGGACUCCUACGGGAGGCAGCAGUGGGGAAUAUUGCACAAUGGGCGCAAGCCUGAUGCAGCCAUGCCGCGUGUGUGAAGAAGGCCUUCGGGUUGUAAAGCACUUUCAGCGGGGAGGCGUUACCCGCAGAAGAAGCACCGGCUAACUCCGUGCCAGCCGCCGCGGUAAUUC
rnacentral:rRNA from 1 species